rnacentral:rRNA from 1 species
AAAAAUUACCUGCGGCAGCCUUACCAUGCAAGUCUAACGGCAGAAGGAGCAAUCCUUCGAGAGUGGCGAACGGGUGAGUAAUAUAUCGGAACGUGCCCAGUCGUGGGGGAUAACGUAGAGAAAUUUACGCUAAUACCGCAUACGAUCUAAGGAUGAAAGCGGGGGACUUCGCAAGAGGCCUCGCGCGAUUGGAGCGGCUGAUAUCAGAUUAGGUUGUUGGUGAGGUAAAAGCUCACCAAGCCGACGAUCUGUAGCUGGUUUGAGAGAACGACCAGCCACACUGGGACUGAGACACGGCCCAGACUCCUACGGGAGGCAGCAGUGGGGAAUUUUGGACAAUGGGCGAAAGCCUGAUCCAGCAAUGCCGCGUGCAGGAAGAAGGCCUUCGGGUUGUAAACUGCUUUUGUACGGAACGAAAAGGUUUGCUUUAAUACAGUGGGCCCAUGACGGUACCGUAAGAAUAAGCACCGGCUAACUACGUGCCAGCAGCCGCGGUAAU